rnacentral:lncRNA from 1 species
GACAUAGCCAGUGCGUGGCAGGGCCUGGAGCAGGCAGAGAAAGGCUACGAGGAGUGGUUGCUCACAGAGAUCCGCAGGCUAGAGAGGCUGGAUCACCUAGCUGAAAAGUUUCACCAGAAGGCAACAAAUCAUGAGAACUGGGCGAGCGGUAAGGAAGUGUUCCUCACCCAGAAAGACUAUGAAACAGCCACACUGACAGAAAUCAGAGCAUUGCUCCGAAAACACGAGGCCUUUGAGAGCGAUUUGGCAGCACAUCAGGACAGAGUGGAGCAGAUUGCUGCCAUUGCACAGGAACUUAAAGAAGUGCUCAGCACUUCAACUCAUCCUGAGGCCUGCUGACAUUUUCAAUCAGCACUCAGUGAAGAACAGCUGCCCAUCGUUAUCUGUCUGGAUCCUUUCUCGUAUUUAACUUGUGCUCAUUUGGACAAAGACAACAUUUCAGCAUUUCGGAGAAUGGCCAUUAUGUUUUCUACAAGCCAGGUGCUGCUCCUUUCACUGCUAUGCUGGAAUGUCCUCUGUUAUCCUGUUAAAACAGGCUGGAUCCCACAGGAGUCUAAUAUGGGUGGUGCUGCUAAAAUGGCAUUUUCUGCCCCCCAUGUUUCAUCAUGGUUUCCUCCUCCGCCUACUGAUCCAGAUCAUCCUGCCAUCUCGUUCCUUCAUGAUCCAGACCCAACAGGAGUCCUCUCGAAUAGCAACUCUAAUAUCGAUAAUCCAUCUUGGUGGAAUCCAGUCCUCAGUUUUGAUGUAGUCAGAAAUUCUGCAACUCCAGAUUCUGCCUCCAAAACUUCUCACUACUCUGUCACAGUUCUACCCCCUCCCCCUCCAUACAUACUCAGGGAAUUUGAGGCCUAUGUGGGUAAUUUGAAGCAUGGUAAUUCAGAAAUGGAAGCUGAGGAGCAAAUGUUUAGUUCUUUUGGUCCAUCUCCACAACCUGUCUUCCAAGCUGGAGAGUUGAGUGAGUAUGAAUCCAUUUUGGAGUAUGGACAUGAAAAGAGGGAAACGGAAGCGGAAGUGUUCAUUCCCCAUUACUCAUUUCCUUCACAAGGCUUUUGGGAGUUGCCAGUAGUUUUUAACUCUGCCAGUCCCAUGCACUCAUCUUCUCAAUGGCUUCAAGCCAACUUAAAAUACCCCUUCUCUGGUCCAGUGGCCCCCCGCAUGCUGUCUCACUUCCAUUCAAUGUAUGAUGGAUUCUACUAUCCAAAGGAUUAA